UAAUACAGAGGGUGCGAGCGUUGUCCGGAAUCACUGGGCGUAAAGGGCGCGUAGGUGGCGCUGCAAGUCGGUGGUGAAAGCUCGUCGCUUAACGACGAGUCGGCCAUCGAAACUGCAGGGCUCGAGCACUGUAGGGGCUCAUGGAAUUCCGGGUGUAGCGGUGGAAUGCGUAGAGAUCCGGAAGAACACCAGUGGCGAAGGCGGUGAGCUGGGCAGUUGCUGACACUGAUGCGCGACAGCGUGGGGAGCAAACAGGAUUAGAUACCCUGGUAGUCCACGCCGUAAACGAUGGGCACUAGAUGCUUGGGGGAGCGACCCCCUGAGUGUCGUCGCUAACGCAGUAAGUGCCCCGCCUGGGGAGUACGGCCGCAAGGCUG
rnacentral:rRNA from 1 species